rnacentral:miRNA from 1 species
GCAUAUAUAUAUAUAUAUAUAUAUAUAUAUAUAUAUAUAUAUAUACACAUACAUACAUAUAUAUGUAUAUAUACAUACACACAUAUAUAUGAAUAUUUGUGUAUAUAUACA